ACCUGCAAAGCAGGAAGAAGACCCAGCAGCCAGGCCAGCAGCCAUGCAGAGGGGACUGGGGGCUCUGCUGGGGCUUCUGUGGGUGCAGCUUUGCUGGGUGAGAGGGCAGCAGGUGGAGCAGAGUCCUUCAGCCCUGAGGCUCCAGGAGGGAACCAGCUCCACUCUGAGGUGCAAUUUUUCCACCACCAUGACCAGUGUGCAGUGGUUCCGACAGAAUCCUGGGGGCAGCCUCAGGAGUCUGUUUUUCCUGACUCCGGGGACAAAGCAGGAGGGAAGGUUAAAGGCAACCAUGAAUUCUAAGGAGCGCUACAGCACCCUGAUCAUUUCGACUUCUCAGCUGGAAGACUCAGGCACCUACCUCUGUGCAGCAGAGGCACAGUGCUCCCAGGGCACCUGCAGCCUGUCCCCAAACUUCAGCUGCACCUGCAGCCACAGCCUCUUCUCUCAGGGAGGACUUUCACAGCAGCCUCUGCACAGCUAUGGGUGUCCUGAUUCCUGUCAUAACACUGUCACCUCUGCUAACAGGAGACUCCUCAGCACUGUCAUCCAAGUUGGGUUGGACCCUUUUCCACACAGAAAUCCUUUGCAGGAAAAAUUUCUAAUAAGGAAGUAUUGA